CCUACGGGUGGCAGCAGUGGGGAAUAUUGCACAAUGGGCGAAAGCCUGAUGCAGCAACGCCGCGUGAGCGAUGAAGGUCUUCGGGUCGUAAAGCUCUGUCCUAAGGGAAGAAUACUGACGGUACCUUAGGAGGAAGCCCCGGCUAACUACGUGCCAGCAGCCGCGGUAAUACGUAGGGGGCUAGCGUUAUCCGGAAUUACUGGGCGUAAAGGGUGCGUAGGCGGCCCUUCAAGUCAGAGGUGAAAGGCUACGGCUCAACCGUAGUAAGCCUUUGAAACUGUAGGGCUUGAGUGCAGGAGAGGAGAGUGGAAUUCCCAGGGUGGCGGUGAGAUGCGAAGAUAUUGGGAGGAACACGGGUGGGGAAGGCGGCGCUCUGGACUGAAACGGACGCUGAGGCACGAAAGUGUGGGGAGCGAACAGGAUUAGAUACCCGAGUAGUC
rnacentral:rRNA from 1 species